rnacentral:rRNA from 1 species
GUCUAUGGCCAUGCUACUCUGAAUGAACCUGAUCCCGUCUGAUCUUGGAAGCUAAGCAGGGUCAGGCCUACUUAGUACUUGGAUGGGAGACCACCGAGGAAGACUAGGUGCUGUAGGAG